rnacentral:rRNA from 1 species
GAUGAACGCUGGCGGCGUGCUUAACACAUGCAAGUCGAACGGUGAACACGGAGCUUGCUCUGUGGGAUCAGUGGCGAACGGGUGAGUAACACGUGAGCAACCUGCCCCUGACUCUGGGAUAAGCGCUGGAAACGGCGUCUAAUACUGGAUAUGUGACGUGACCGCAUGGUCUGCGUUUGGAAAGAUUUUUCGGUUGGGGAUGGGCUCGCGGCCUAUCAGCUUGUUGGUGAGGUAAUGGCUCACCAAGGCGUCGACGGGUAGCCGGCAUGAGAGGGUGACCGGCCACACUGGGAUUGAGACACGGCCCAGACUCCUACGGGAGGCAGCAGUGGGGAAUAUUGCACAAUGGGCGAAAGCCUGAUGCAGCAACGCCGCGUGAGGGAUGACGGCCUUCGGGUUGUAAACCUUUUUUAGCAGGGAAGAAGCGAAAGUGACGGUACCUGCAGAAAAAGCGCCGGCUAACUACGUG